AAUAAUUGCUCGUUGACCUCAAGUUUUUAAAGAUCCGGGGCUUCUGGUUCAAGUUGGCUUUGUGUUUUCAGGCGGUGUGGUCCCAGCCUGGGCUUCAGGCAGCUCAGAGGAAAUUGGCUGUAUUUGGAUUUCCUUGUCUGCAGUGGAGAUGGCACUGUUUAAGCAUUAAUUUGUUCUGCAUGAGUUUGCACAGGAGGCAAACACAGAGGUCAGCCUCUGCUGCGCUGAAUCACAAGGCCCUUAGUUCUGCCUACCCACCCACCCACUUGUCAGGGUUAAUGGGAGCUGGCAAGCUCCAGAACCCCAUACUCCUGUUGCUUCAAAAUCUUUGAGAGGCCACACUACUCCUGAGGGUACAGGCAACAGUGUUAAGCCUCUGGAGUUACGUCUGCUUACCACAGUUGUUAAUUUAUCUGUGAAAGUGCUGCUGAGAUGAACCACCUUUCUUAGAUCAAUAUUUAUUUAAUCUGAAACUGUACUGAAGUGGGAAUUGAAACCUUUUGCAUUAGGGGACCAAUACAGUUCCUGCAUGUGUGUCACCUCCAGUAUCUGCAGUGUGGGGAAUUUCAAGAACUUAACAAAGUCUCUCCACUUUGUGGCUGACACCAGGCACCCCAGAGGUCAGAGGAGAUCCUUCAUUCCAUGCUUUUGUUAAUCAGGAUCAUUGCUCCACAAGACAACCUUCUUACAACCUUACGGAGCAGAACUUCUGCAGUCUGCAUUACUGAGCUACCACCCGAGGCCCAGAUUCACAAAGGGCCAGCCAGGUCCUGCCCUGCAGGAUGGGGAUGAGAGAUGUCUGGCAGCAGAAACACCAGGUGGAGUUUCCCGACUGAGAGCUGAGUGCCAGCUGCCCUCACCCUGACACCAAGAGAGGUCAAGAGGAUAAUCCCUGUGCUACACGAGGCUAAGAGGUGUAUUUUCACCUCUGGGCAGAAGGAGCAGCACAAAGCACUUGCAGAGUGGUGGUACUUUGGAGGGGAGCACUGGGUCAGCUGCUCAGUGCAUUGCGUGCCGGGCUGCUUUGGAUCUCAGAUAGGAUCUAAAAGAAGACAUUGCAGAAGGGUCUGCCCUCCCAAGCGUGUGCUGUCUUCCUCCCACCAUCACAGCCACUGGCUCCCUCAUCGUGUUUUUCUGUGCAAGGUGAGCAUUGGCUGCUGUUGUGGGAGCACAGUGGGGAUGCCUGCGGGGUCACCCCACAGUGGCAGCUGCAGAGCCUCUGGGCCAA
rnacentral:lncRNA from 1 species